rnacentral:tRNA from 2 species
AUUUAUAUAGUUUAAUAAAACAUUACAUUUUCAUUGUAAAAAUAAACCAAAAAUUUUAUAAAUA